rnacentral:rRNA from 1 species
CCUACGGGAGGCUGCAGUCGAGAAUCAUUCACAAUGGGGGAAACCCUGAUGGUGCGACGCCGCGUGGGGGAAUGAAGGUCUUCGGAUUGUAAACCCCUGUCAUGUGGGAGCAAAUUAAAAAGAUAGUACCACAAUAGGAAGAGACUGCUAACUCUGUGCCAGCAGCCGCGGUAAUACAGAGGUCUCAAGCGUUGUUCGGAAUCACUGGGCGUAAAGCGUGCGUAGGCUGUUUCGUAAGUCGUGUGUGAAAGGCGCGGGCUCAACCCGCGGACGGCACAUGAUACUGCGAGACUAGAGUAAGGGAGGGGGAACCGGAAUUCUCGGUGUAGCAGUGAAAUGCGUAGAUAUCGAGAGGAACACUCGUGGCGAAGGCGGGUUCCUGGACAGUAACUGACGCUGAGGCACGAAGGCCAGGGGAGCGAAAGGGAUUAGAUACCCGAGUAGUC